CCUUCUUUAGCUCAGUUGGUAGAGCGUGAGACUGUAAAGGAUCCCUGUUAUCUCAAUGUCACCCGUUCGACCCGGGUAAGAAGGA